GACGUAGGUGGCGAGCGUUGUUCGGAAUCACUGGGCAUAAAGCGCACGUAGGCGGCCAAGUCAGUCAGGUGUGAAAUACCCCGGCUCAACCGAGGAACUGCGCCUGAUACUGCUUGGCUUGAGGUCCGGAGGGGAGAGUGGAAUUCCCAGUGUAGAGGUGAAAUUCGUAGAUAUUGGGAAGAACACCGGUGGCGAAGGCGGCUCUCUGGACCGUAACUGACGCUGAGGCGCGAAAGCGUGGGGAGCAAACAGG
rnacentral:rRNA from 1 species